CCAAUGUAUGUAUGCAGCAGUGACAAUGCUCGAAUCUGGACACACAAGUACAUGUUAAAGAGUGGAGUGGUUAUGUCAAAGUUUGUAAAGAUCUCUAUGUGCCAAUGAAGACUUUGGAUUCCAUGCCAAAUAAUAAGAGAUCGAAUAGCCUUACAUACCUCGACAUAUCAACUUGUUUUUACGUCGAAAUGACUUCUUUUCUUCCAACUAUUUAUCUACAAUAUCAUGUUUUAAAGCUAGUAUUAGCAGCUAAUCAAUGCAUCUGGACAGCCCAAUCUCACAAGACACAACACUUUGGCAACAAACGUAUAACCAUCAACUCAAUGGUGUUAUUCCGACUUUCUCAAUUCUAACUGUAUUCAACCAGCAUAGAUUAUCAUAUACAUGAUGUAUACAGCCUAUAUUAGCUCUAUAACAUGCUGGCAACAGUCCAUACCUACAACACAUAACCAUUUUACUAAACGCUCAACUAAGAAGCACAACAUCUCGUCGUCUCCCUACAUUUCAUCGUUAACAAUUCAUACUUGUCCCAACUUUGAACCAGAUGCUCCCAACAUAUGUAUACAUCAAAUAAAUCUUAACAUAGUCAAAAAAUAGCUCAAAACGUAGGGGUAAAUGUGAAACAACAGCCCCCUCAACAAAACAGUCCAAUACCAUUUUGGAAGCACAUAAGAUCAUAUAAGGAUACUUGUUUCCAAAGAACUAGCAAAACAGUCCAGCAACCUUGGAAACCAUAUACAUACUAUAACAUGUUAAUAACCUCAACUUUAUAUCAUAUUAAAGUGAAAAAUCAGGGUAAAAAUCGUUCCAAAGCCAAGAAAACCAAACAACAACUUUCAGGACACAAGCUGUCCAGAAAUUCCUGCACAGUGAACCAGCCAACUUAUCUUGUUUUCCAUGGAAAAUUCAUAUCAAGUAUAUGGUUAUUUUUACAUACCUUAACUCCCAAGGUGUAG
rnacentral:lncRNA from 1 species